AGUGUAUGCCUUUUGAUGCAUGCUAGAAGCAUAUUUAGUCUUUUAUUGUAGAUGCAGUCAUCUCCAGAGGAUAGAUUUCAAGACAUUUAAAAUAUCCAAAGCUGUACAGUCAUUUCUUUAGCUUUAUUAAAUGUAUUGGACCUUGUUGGAUGUCACUUUGACGAGAGUUACCUAGAUGAAGAAUAAAUAAAUUGUUUGGAUUCUGGCUCUCAAUUUUGAGGAGCUUUAUUUUACCUAGAUGAACUGCUGUUCUGGUCGAUUGCAGCACCAGUUACUGGAAGCGUGUGGAUUCUGGAUCUCAAUUUUUUUUUUAGUUUAUUGACUGUUGAGCUCUUGGUUUAGAGCUUCAAGCUAUGACAGAAAAGAUCUCUUUUUAUUUUUAUUUUUAAUAUGUAAGACUGCAAGAUAUUACUUUUUUCAAAGUUUGGCUAAUCUUCAAGAUAAUUCAAUGAUAGUGCUGAAUGCAUCGGAUUCUACAUGCAUUGGGUGCUUUGUAUGUUUGACGGUAGCUAGCAUUUGUCAGAUUGUGACGGCUUGUAAAGCGUUUGUAUUAUAAGAAUGUUGAGGAAGUUGGCAAUAUUAUGAGAGUAUUUUGUUGACUUAUGUGCUGCAAGGAAUUAUCUUCUACAAAAGGGAAGAAAUCUUAAUAUGGUUCUUUCUAGUGAUGCCUUAUCUGAUCUUUUCAGGUUAUUGCAAACAGAGCAGCUGAAAUUCUUGGCCAUAAGCGGGGCGAAAAGCAUGUGCACCCAAACGACCAUGUGAACAGAUCACAAUCUUCAAAUGACACAUUUCCUACUGUGAUGCAUAUUGCUGCUGCUAUGGAGAUAAAUAAAAGAUUAGUACCAAACUUAAAACAAUUGCAUACUUCACUACACUGUUGUUACUCAGAACCAUUUUACAAAAGCUGUUUUUCAGAAUAACCAAAACCAAUUCAAAUGCCAAAAGAGUUUGUAAGAUGAAAGUCUCUCCUCUCAUUCUCAUGUAUCCUUCAUCACUUGUUCUUUGUAAAAAUUUUACUUUCUACUACCAUAUGUGGCUACAGUAACAUGUAUAAACCACCUGAAAAAUGCUGCUUGAUAUUUUGGAAAAUCUUCCAAGAGACCACGAGGAUGUAGUUAUCUCCCUUUGCAAAUGUUAGGCAAAUAAAAGUUUUGUGAUACAUGGAGAAUUUCCUAUGGUUUAUAUUAUGUGCUUGCCUUUUUUUUUUUCUUCUUAAUCUAACAAACAAUGAUGUGUCUGUGUUGUAACAAACAAGGAUAUGGAAAUAUAGUGGUUGUUCUCCAACAUGUAUACUAACGUUCCAACUCAACUUUAAAAUGAAAGGUGUUUGUAUGGUGAGUGACUCAGUCUGAUAAUUUCAUAACAAAUAGCGGCUCUUCCCCAUAGCAGAAAAUGAUUAAGGCAGAAGCUGUUCUUACUGAUUGCAUCUUCACUUGAGCAGCUUGCACAAGGAGGCACAGCAGUUGGAACAGGAUUGAACACAAAAAAGGGGAAAGGUAUCAAGAAAUAUUACGGGAAAAAUCACAGUCUCAGUCUGAUAUUGAUCAAUGUGAAGCAUAUUACGAAGAUGCUGGGGGAACAAAGAAGAAAAGAAUAUAUGGUCUUGGAUAUCAAGCACAAAGUUAUCUGCUUUUUGUUGGAAAGAACAAAAUUAUGCACUAACAAUACUUGAUGGAUGUGUGGGUUCUUUUGGUAGUUGAUAGCUUGGUGUUGUCGGUGUUUUGGACUUAACGAUUAGGAUUUCGCUAUCUAUUUUGAAUCUUUUUUAUAAAUAUUAUUUUAUGUGAAUGUCAGUUAUUUUUAAGGGUAUUUAUUACUUUGUAUUUA